rnacentral:misc_RNA from 1 species
AAGUCGUAACAAGGUCUCCGUAGGUGAACCUGCGGAGGGAUCAUUAACACGUUUUACACGUAACAAACCAAAUGUGAAUAUAUAGUAACAUUCAAACUCUUUUUGAGUUUUUUUUGUUAUCUCUACCUAGAUAGAUAGAUUGCGAUAAUUAACUAUUGUGAUUGGUUAUUCGUUUCGGCGAAUAACAGUUAGUUAUUGCUAAGGUUUAAUCUCUAUAAUCUAUUUAUUUAGGCUUUCUUUAGCUCAAUCAUACUAAAACAAACCCUUUUAACCCUACUUAUAACCAUUUGACUGAAAAUAAUUUAUACCUUACAUAUAUGUAGCAAUACCUAUAUGUGUGAGAUAUAGAUAUGAUAUUCUAACUAUAAGCACAACUCUUAGCAACGGAUAUCUUGGUUCUC